rnacentral:rRNA from 1 species
UACGUAGGGUGCAAGCGUUAAUCGGAAUUACUGGGCGUAAAGCGUGCGCAGGCGGUUUUGUAAGUCUGACGUGAAAUCCCCGGGCUUAACCUGGGAAUUGCGUUGGAGACUGCAAGGCUGGAGUCUGGCAGAGGGGGGUAGAAUUCCACGUGUAGCAGUGAAAUGCGUAGAGAUGUGGAGGAACACCGAUGGCGAAGGCAGCCCCCUGGGUCAAGACUGACGCUCAUGCAC